UGUGGAGGUACAGUCCUAUGAUGUACCUUGAAUGCAUAACUGUAAAGAGGUACCAUGUGGAGGUACGGUCCUAUGAUGUACAGAAAACACUUUGCUGUAAGUAGGUACCAUGUGGAGGUACAGUCCUAUGAGAUACCUUGAAUGCAUAGCUGUAAAGAGGUACCAUGUGGAGGUACAGUCCUAUGAGAUACCUUGAACGCAUAGCUGUAAAGAAGUACCAUGUGGAGGUACAGUCCUAUGAGAUACCUUGAAUGCAUAGCUGUAAAGAAGUACCAUGUGGAGGUACAGUCCUAUGAGAUACCUUGAAUGCAUAGCUGUAAAGAGGUACCAUGUGGAGGUACAGUCCUAUGAGAUACCUUGAACGCAUAGCUGUAAAGAAGUACCAUGUGGAGGUACAGUCCUAUGAGAUACCUUGAAUGCAUAGCUGUAAAGAAGUACCAUGUGGAGGUACAGUCCUAUGAGAUACCUUGAAUGCAUAGCUGUAAAGAAGUACCAUGUGGAGGUACAGUCCUAUGAUAUAC